rnacentral:rRNA from 1 species
UACGUAGGGUGCGAGCGUUAAUCGGAAUUACUGGGCGUAAAGUGUGCGCAGGCGGCAAAGCAAGUCGAGUGUGAAAGCCCCGGGCUUAACUUGGGAAUUGCGCUCGAAACUACUUUGCUGGAGUGUGGCAGAGGAAGGUGGAAUUCCACGUGUAGCGGUGAAAUGCGUAGAGAUGUGGAGGAACACCAAUGGCGAAGGCAGCCUUCUCGGGCCCAACAGUGG